rnacentral:rRNA from 1 species
AAACUGAGGAUAAUACUGGAUAGGCAAUUAUUCCUGCAAUGGUUUUUUGUUUAAAUGUUUUUUCGCCUAAGGAUGGGUCUGCGGCCGAUUAGGUAGUUGGUUAGGUAACGGCUUACCAAGCCAUUGAUCGGUACGGGUUGUGAGAGCAAGAGCCCGGAGAUGGAACCUGAGACAAGGUUCCAGGCCCUACGGGGUGCAGCAGGCGCGAAACCUCCGCAAUGUGAGAAAUCGCGACGGGGGGAUCCCAAGUGCCAUUCUUAACGGGAUGGCUUUUCAUUAGUGUAAAGAGCUUUUGGAAUAAGGGCUGGGCAAGACCGGUGCCAGCCGCCGCGGUAACACCGGCAGCUCUAGUGGUAGCAGUUUUUAUUGGGCCUAAAGCGUCCGUAGCCGGUUUAAUAAGUCUCUGGUGAAAUCCUGUAGCUUAACUGUGGGAAUUGCUGGAGAUACUAUUAGACUUGAGACCGGGAGAGGUUAGAGGUACUCCCAGGGUAGAGGUGAAAUUCUGUAAUCCUGGGAGGACCGCCUGUUGCGAAGGCGUCUAACUGGAACGGUUCUGACGGUGAGGGACGAAAGUUAGGGGCGCGAACCGGAUUAGAUACCCGGGUAGUCCUAACUGUAAACGAUGCGGACUUGGUGUUGGGGUGGCUUUGAGCUGCUCCAGUGCCGAAGGGAAGCUGUUAAGUCCGCCGCCUGGGAAGUACGGUCGCAA